AAGUGGUCCGCCCCGGGCCGGGAUGUGACAUGGGUACAUUCUUCAAAACCACACAAAAACUAAUCGAUAUUAGGCUUAAUAAAAUUAGUAAAUUUCUUUGAUUAAAUUUGACAUGGAAACAUUCUCAAAUCAAGAAAAAAAAAUGUACCCAUAUGAGUUUAAAAAUGGAUUAGAAAAAAAAUGAAUAGAUUUUAUAUAAAAAAAGGUACAUUUUACUACAACAAAUUGGUAUAUUUAAGAAUUGGUACAUUUUAAGAUUAAAAAUUUGAAAAAUCACAUGAAUGGGUGCAUAUAAGAUUAAAAAAUUGGAAAGCUUUUUAUAAAAAAUUAAGGGGUACAAACUUAUUCUAAUUUUUUUUUUAUUUUGGAAAUGUUUUGAAUUGAAAAUUAGUUAGGAGUUUAAUAAAGGUGUGAGUAUUGAAAUCCUAAAUCAAUUAUUAAUUUUUAUUUAAAAAAUUAUGUAACUGACAUGUAAAUUCAUUAUUGCAUUAAUGUUAGGGACUUUAAUCAAAAUCUGAAAACUAAUAAGGUUUCAAUCAAAUAACAUUAGUAACUAAGGACCGGAUACUAAUUUUUCUUUUUCUUUUUGGAAGCUAUCAUGGUGUAGAUGAGUGAUAAACGUCGACGAUAAAUCAGUAACAUGUCAAAAACAAAUACGUAAAUACAGUUGCAAACGUGACCUGAAAAGAGAAUCUCACUGUGCUUAUUCACAUCCUCUUUUGCUUAGUCUAGGUUUACCUUCAAUCUGUCAUCAUCGUAGAAGAGCUUUUCUAAUUUAGGUGGUUACGUCCUUCCAAGGUGCUGCUGCAUUCUCAUAGUCUGUAAGUGAUUGAUACAGAUUGGUACUGACAAUUGGCCAUGAUCCAUGGUCCUUUUGUCUACAAUUACAACUACUGGUAGCUAACCCUAAUGGAUAUCUUAAUUUAGAACGCGGAAUGAAAUGAAGGGCUUUGAUCUUCUGGAUUGGACAAUUGCAUGUGACCUAAAAUUGACCAUUGAUGGUAGACUUAAACCAACAAGUUUCUAAGGGACUACGUGCCAUCAUAGACAACCAUAUAACUUGGUACUUGCAUAUAAUCUAUCAUGGUUUGGUGCUUAAAAUUAGAUUAUAUCGCACAACUCACUAGAUUUGGUGCAAGUUGAAUGAAGAAAUAAAAAAAAUAUUGUACAAGUCAAAGAUAAAAGAUUCAUAACAAAAACUUACCCAUUUCAAUUCCUAUAAAAUAAUAAAGCAUCAACAUAUUUUACAACUUAUCUUUUAUACUCUCCAUACGAUAAAAAGUUCGUCACCUCCACCAGUAUUUAGUUUAUGAGUUAUUUAAUCGAAUCUUCUACACCAAACGAAUUAAAAAGUUGUUAGAUUCAGUGAUUUUCUUGAAAUAUUAAUUAAUUAGAAUUGUAGUUGAGAAAAUAGGAGAGGCUGACCGCACGGCAGAGACUAGACUGGAGGCCAACGAAAGUUUAUCACACAUGCCACAAUUGUAGGUUAGUGGAAUAUAAUUAAUUAAGAAAGAAAACAACAAAUCAUUGGAUUUUGAUGAUGGAUAAUGAAAGGGGUCCUACACAUCUCCAGCAGCUCCUUAGAGAUUUUUUAAUGUGAUC
rnacentral:lncRNA from 1 species